UACGUAGGGGGCUAGCGUUGUCCGGAUUUAUUGGGCGUAAAGAGCGUGUAGGCGGCCAGGUAGGUCUGGUGUGAAAACACGAGGCUUAACCUCGAGAUGUCAUCGGAAACCAUUUGGCUAGAGUCCGGAAGAGGAGAGUGGAAUUCCUGGUGUAGCGGUGAAAUGCGCAGAUAUCAGGAAGAACACCAAUGGCGAAAGCAGCUCUCUGGGACGGUACUGACGCUGAGACGCGAAAGCGUGGGGAGCGAACAGG
rnacentral:rRNA from 1 species